rnacentral:rRNA from 1 species
UCCUUAGAGUUUGAUCCUGGCUCAGGACGAACGCUGGCGGCGUGCUUAACACAUGCAAGUCGAACGAUGAAGCCCUUCGGGGUGGAUUAGUGGCGAACGGGUGAGUAACACGUGGGCAAUCUGCCCUUCACUCUGGGACAAGCCCUGGAAACGGGGUCUAAUACCGGAUAACACUCUGUCCCUCAUGGGAUGGGGUUAAAAGCUCCGGCGGUGAAGGAUGAGCCCGCGGCCUAUCAGCUUGUUGGUGGGGUAAUGGCCUACCAAGGCGACGACGGGUAGCCGGCCUGAGAGGGCGACCGGCCACACUGGGACUGAGACACGGCCCAGACUCCUACGGGAGGCAGCAGUGGGGAAUAUUGCACAAUGGGCGAAAGCCUGAUGCAGCGACGCCGCGUGAGGGAUGACGGCCUUCGGGUUGUAAACCUCUUUCAGCAGGGAAGAAGCGA